AGAUCUGAGGAUGACCUAUGUGAUUGAGACCCUCCAGCGAUUGCCAGUGUUGAUUCAGCUGAUCUGGCUGGCUAGAUGGAAGCCCCUUUCCUUCCUCACUGCUCCAUGUACAUCCCUCCUUUAAACUGUGCAUUUGGUCAAAGACGGAGACCUUGCCUGACGGAGGACCAUUUCCUUGGUCAAGAAUACAAGAGCAGCUGCACCCUUGUGGUGGAAUCCCCAAACAAGUUCUCAGAUAUAGAUUUCUUUAUUGUUUACUUUAUUUGGAAAUUUAUGAUGUAUGAAAGAACUCAUAACCUUCUAAACCUGUAUUU
ensembl:misc_RNA 7SK 7SK RNA